GGAUGAUGGCUUUCUUUGA
rnacentral:misc_RNA from 1 species